rnacentral:rRNA from 1 species
AUUGAACGCUGGCGGCAUGCCUUACACAUGCAAGUCGAACGGUAACAGGUCUUCGGAUGCUGACGAGUGGCGAACGGGUGAGUAAUACAUCGGAACGUGCCUAGUAGUGGGGGAUAACUACUCGAAAGAGUGGCUAAUACCGCAUGAGAUCUACGGAUGAAAGCAGGGGAUCGCAAGACCUUGUGCUACUAGAGCGGCCGAUGGCAGAUUAGGUAGUUGGUGGGAUAAAAGCUUACCAAGCCGACGAUCUGUAGCGGGUCUGAGAGGACGAUCCGCCACACUGGUGCUGGGACACGGCCCAGACGCCUACGGGAGGCAGCAGUGGGGAAUUUUGGACAAUGGGCGAAAGCCUGAUCCAGCAAUGCCGCGUGCAGGAUGAAGGCCUUCGGGUUGUAAACUGCUUUUGUACGGAACGAAAAGCCCCGGGUUAAUACCCUGGGGUCAUGACGGUACCGUAAGAAUAAGCACCGGCUAACUACGUGCCAGCCGCCGCCGUAA